UACGUAGGGGGCUAGCGUUGUCCGGAUUUAUUGGGCGUAAAGAGCGUGUAGGCGGCCAUGUAGGUCCGGUGUGAAAACUCGAGGCUUAACCUCGAGAUGUCAUCGGAAACCAUUUGGCUAGAGUCCGGAAGAGGAGAGUGGAAUUCCUGGUGUAGCGGUGAAAUGCGCAGAUAUCAGGAAGAACACCCGUGGCGAAGGCGGCUCUCUGGUACGUGACUGACGCUGAGACGCGAAAGCGUGGGGAGCGAACAGG
rnacentral:rRNA from 1 species